GACAGAGGAGCCAAGCGUUGUCCGGAUUUACUGGGCGUAAAGCGCACGCAGGCGGCCCGGCGCGUGGGGUGUGAAAGCUGGCGGCUUAACUGCCAGACGGCAUCCCAUACGGCUGGGCUCGAGCCCUGCAGAGGUCCAUGGAAUUGCCGGUGUAGUGGUGAAAUGCGUAGAGAUCGGCAGGAACACCCAGGGGGAAACCAGUGGACUGGGCAGGAGCUGACGCUCAGGUGCGAAAGCGUGGGGAGCGAACCGG
rnacentral:rRNA from 1 species